rnacentral:misc_RNA from 1 species
GCUUUCGUUCCCCGCCGCUCAUGCACGCGCGUGGACGCUGCGACGACUGCUUGGCGCGCCGGCGCACCUUGUGUUACGGUACUCGCGAGAAACCGGGCAUGCGCAGAGCGGCGCAGAUACGGCAAGGAACAGCCGGCUCGGCGCCCGAUGCGUCACCAGUCUCGCCAUUUUCGAAGGCUCUGCUAUCGGCGCUGGUUUGGAAUCCGUUGGGCCACGUAUUGUACUCCCGCUGCAGAUAUGCCGAGCAGCAGGCCAAGGGAAGCUUGUACCCAUUGCAUCACUGGCGGACGCCCAGCCGCACUGGGGAUCGAACCUCGCACCAUCCGCAUGGCACUUUUGGUAUUAACCCAGACCAUGGAAGCAAGGCUGAGAAAAAAAGCAAGGAAAGAGAACCCAAAAAUAUUCAGUUUGACGAAAAAAUCAUGGAUUCUGAAUGGAAUGUUUACAUUUUUGAACACCUAAAAAUGUACAAGAUAGAUCAAACUGUUACAAAGAGAUUAUGAUAAAGUUAUUUAUUGUGCCUGGAAUGGACAUAUGCCAAGUGCAGAAUCCAGGGCUUUCGUUCAACCAUCUGUACUGCUCACGGCAUGGUACAGCGGCGGCGCUGGCAGCGAGGAUGCCCAAGGAUAUAAGAGCGGCAACGUGGAACCAUCACUUCAGUGGGUCCGGUGGCGGCAUGGCGAACUCCCGUUUCAAGCACGUCUGUUUCAUCUUGCAGAUUGCCGUUAUCGCCGGCUGCCCCGAUGUUCUGAUGCAUGAUCCUACAAGCGACGCACCGCGCAGUCUCCUACCACGAUUCAGCGGCGCUCGAACUGGCGGCAGUGCCCGAUCUUCGGCGGGGCAGGAAUGCGCUGCUGCUGAUCGUGGGAAGGAUUUUCCGUCUAUUGACGUGCUUUCGUUCAACCAUCUGUACUGCUCACGGCAUGGUACAGCGGCGGCGCUGGCAGCGAGGAUGCCCAAGGAUAUAAGAGCGGCAACGUGGAACCAUCACUUCAGUGGGUCCGGUGGCGGCAUGGCGAACUCCCGUUUCAAGCACGUCUGUUUCAUCUUGCAGGUAACAUACAAUUACAAAUGCUACCGAAGUGAUAACCGCUGUCCGUUGCUGCUACCGGACCCUCUGAACUGUACUGCCGUUGUGACACUACUGGUGCAUUGCCUAAGAAUGUCAUUAUUGUUACUUUGUGGCGACGUAGAGACCAAUCCCGGUCCCAAAGUUGAUGAAAUGUUGUCGCAACUACUGGCUGGGCAAGCCCGCAUCAGCCAGGAAUUAGCUAGCCUAUCUGAAACAGUUGCAUCAUUUGAAAGUC